rnacentral:rRNA from 1 species
AGCGAACGCUGGCGGCAGGCUUAACACAUGCAAGUCGAGCGGGCACUUCGGUGUCAGCGGCAGACGGGUGAGUAACACGUGGGAACGUACCCUUUGGUUCGGAAUAACGCUGGGAAACUAGCGCUAAUACCGGAUACGCCCUUUUGGGGAAAGGCUUGCUGCCGAAGGAUCGGCCCGCGUCUGAUUAGCUAGUUGGUGGGGUAAUGGCCUACCAAGGCGACGAUCAGUAGCUGGUCUGAGAGGAUGAUCAGCCACACUGGGACUGAGACACGGCCCAGACUCCUACGGGAGGCAGCAGUGGGGAAUAUUGGACAAUGGGCGCAAGCCUGAUCCAGCCAUGCCGCGUGAGUGAUGAAGGCCUUAGGGUUGUAAACCUCUUUUGUCCGGGACGAUAAUGACGGUACCGGAAGAAUAAGCCCCAGCUAACUUCGUG